rnacentral:ncRNA from 1 species
UUAAUUUGACUCAACACGGGAAACCUCACCCGGCCCGGACACGGACAGGAUUGACAGAUUGAUAGCUCUUUCUCGAUUCCGUGGGUGGUGGUGCAUGGCCGUUCUUAGUUGGUGGAGCGAUUUGUCUGGUUAAUUCCGAUAACGAACGAGACUCUGGCAUGCUAACUAGUUACGCGACCCCCGAGCGGUCGGCGUCCCCCAACUUCUUAGAGGGACAAGUGGCGUUCAGCCACCCGAGAUUGAGCAAUAACAGGUCUGUGAUGCCCUUAGAUGUCCGNNNNN